rnacentral:rRNA from 1 species
AACGAACGCUAGCGGCGCGUCUGAUUCAUGCAAGUCGAGCGAGAAAGCUCCCUUCGGGGGGCGAGUAAAGCGGCGAACUGCUGAGUAAUACGCAGGCAACCUGCCCGUGAGACUGGGAUAACCCGCCGAAAGGCGGGCUAAUACCGGAAUUAUGGCCGGUCGCAUGACCGGUUAUGAAACGGUUUACCUCUUCGGAGGUUCUCUGCUCGCGGAUGGGCCUGCGGCCUAUUAGCUUGUUGGUGAGGUAGUGGCUCACCAAGGCGAUGAUGGGUAGCCGACCUGAGAGGGUGAUCGGCCAGACUGGGACUGAGACACCGCCCAGACUCCUACGGGAGGCAGCAGAGGAGAAUCAUCCGCAAUGGGCGCAAGCCUGACGGUGCGACGCCGCGUGGGGGAAGAAGGCCUUUGGGUCGUAAACUCCUGUCAGAGGUCAAGAAACGGUGGAGGGUUAAUAGCCCUUCGUCCUGACUAGCCUCAAAGGAAGGGCCGGCUAACUUCGUGCCAGCAGCAGCGGUAAUACGGAGGGCUCAAGCGUUGUUCGGAAUCAUUGGGCGUAAAGGGCGUCUAGGCGGAUCUGUCAGUCGGGUGUGAAAUCCCUCGGCCCAACCGGGGAAUUGUGUCCGAUACUGCAGGUCUUGAGUGCGGCAGAGGAGAGUGGAACUCCUGGUGGAGCGGUGAAAUGCGUAGAUAUCAGGAGGAACGCCGGAGGCGAAAGCGAUUCUCUGGGCCGUUACUGACGCUGAAGCGCGAAAGCCAGGGGAGCGAACGGGAUUAGAUACCCCGGUAGUCCUGGCCGUAAACGAUGGGCACUAGGUAUGGGAGGUUCUGACACCGUCCGUGCCGUAGCUAACGCGUUAAGUGCCCCGCCUGGGGAGACGGUCGCAAGGCU